UCUUCCUGGUCUCAAGGAAUAAAAAUGCUAAGUUUAGUGUAAACUACUAAAAAAAUAAACCGGUAAUUUCAACUAUAUACACAAUAACUAUGCACACAAUAAUAUACGAAAUGAAUUACUAUUACAAUUUUUGGAAUCUACAUUUGACAUUCUAUGAUUUGCUACGUUAGUGCCGCGUAGUGGGAAUUCGGACAACUUGCAGGCGGUUGGCUGGGUGUGGUUUGUGUGUGUAUUCUCUGCAGUGGAUAUCAAACAGAGCAAUGCCCAGAAAAAGGCAAAAUGAAGGCAAGAGGUCACGGCACAGUGCGGUGGACAACCUCAGCUUCCGACUGCAGGGCACCCUGUGGAGGAAGCCUAGGAAGUUGGUAUAUUGCGUCACAUUGAUAAUAAUAGUUUGUAGUCACGUGAGUAAUGCCUUUUUUUUUUGCAUACAUCAAAUUGUCUUAUUUAAUCUGAACGGCUUUUCUAAUGAAUUGUUUGUGUCACCAAGUAUUAAAAUAUCUGCCAAGUGAUGGUUACUGCUUAUUUUCAACUUCAUGCCGUAAGCUAUAUGAUAAUAAUUAAGAACCAGUUCUGGUUAUUCGGUUACUUUGCUGAGCUCAAUUUCUUGGUUUUUCAAGUACUUGUGCACAGAUCUUAACCCCGGCCUUUCUCAGAAAUGGAACUGAUAAUUGCAUUUAUGGUUGUGUGCGAGUGCUUAUUGGCCGAUACUUAAGAAAAAGUCGACACACCUGACUUUGAUAUACUUACAUGUCCUUGGUAAAAUGGGCAGAGGAACCUGUUGGAUUAUUUUUUUGAAGAAUAAAUUGAUUAUUUUGCACAGAAGCUUCACAGUGUUGACCAACGAUUUUAACUUCUUUCAUGGUAUUUUUAUAAUUUAAGUUUCUGGGAAACACAUGUUUCAAAAAUGUUCAUACAUUUCUUGGCACUUUACCUACGUUAUCUGCUGAAUGGUUCAAUUAAGGGUUAAGAUCUGUCAGGCACUGAGUUUAUAAUUAAUAUAUUUCCUCCAUUUUAAUUAGUUAACCAGAAAAGUUUAAAUUGAAGAUUUCAUUGUUGAAUAAGUUUAUGGAACUUUGAAUGUUAUAUUUUAUCCCAGAUUUAAUCACUUUUUCUCAUUUUGUGUGAUUGUAAAAGAUUUCUUUGUAAGUGAAUUUUAGGGUGGCAAUGAUGAAGAUUAGUCUCAUCUUCAGUUGAUAACUUGCACUUGCAAUUUUGAAGCUAGGUCUUCUGUAUGUCCAUUGCAUUUUUAUAGGUGGGCCAAGCUCUUAGCAAUGGAAGAGCACUUCAUUAUGUUAGGUCCCAUGGGGACUGUCAGCCAGGAGGUGACAGUCUAGCUGCAAGUACGAGUCGGAUGUCACUCGGUAAGAACAGGUGGAAAAUGAUGGCGAGAGAGAAAGGAAUAGAGGAAAUUAUGUGCCUUGAAACUUUGUGAUGUGUUUUUUCUUUUAGUAAUAUUAAGAUCGCGUAGACACUGAUGUGGCAGUGGGUUAAUUGUUAUAGCCAAAUGAAAUAAAUAAAUUCGUACAGAACAUGUCAGGUCUUGGAAUUCUGUGAUGUAAUAUAUCUUUUUUUGGAAAAUUUGCAUCCAAGGAUUUUUUUUGUGUGUGUAAAAUUUGCUUUAGCUUUCAUAUUAGUAGCGGUAACUGAUGAACCACUAGAGCCCGGCAAGUACAAUUUUGUAUAGAGUUAGAUCAUGAACUUGCCUACAGACUAAAUUUUAAACAAAUUUCAUGUCAUCAGUUGUAGUGGUAGUGCAAAACGGGUACAUGUCUGACAAAUAUAAUGUAAUUUAAAUUUGUGUUUGUGGAAAUAAUGCACAGAAAGGGAUCAACGACAACAACAACAAUAAUAAGAUUAUUUAUUUACAGCUGGGAGUUUGCGUUACGUUUAUUUGUCGGCUGGCUUGAGGUGAUGCUUUCCAUCUUUAUAUUUGUGAUAUAUAUAUAAUAUAAUGCACUGUAACCUAAUAUUUCAUGGCUGUGUCCUUAAUCGUCUGCAGGGUUCAUUGAUAUCAUUCGGCUAAAAGAUUAACAAUGUAAAAUGAUCAGGUCACUUUACUCUAAGAUAUUUGUCAGACAUUGGAAUAAUAAACCACUCUUGACCAUUCUGCCAUUUAGUUUCAAUAGUAGUAUGCCGUAUCCAGUGACCAUAUUACGUCAGAAUGGUAUAUGUUUAACUACAGUUCAACCCAGAGGCCAGUUUCUCAACAUUUUAAUUAUGUGUUCAGUUAAUAAAUGGCACAUUUAUAGAUUGUAUGGCUUCAUGGUAAUAUUUAUUAAUCUAACUUGUGUAUAGUUGCAAAUAUGCUACAAAGUGAAGUUUGGGAUGGAAAAUUUGUCACUGACUGUAGACUAUGCAUUUUUAUCGUUUUCAUAGAACAGGGGUCCUCAACUGAUGGGGCAUGUGGAAGAAUAAUUUUUUUUCUUCAUGUUGUUACACUUUAAGUUGCAGGUGCUAGUGGCCCUGUGAGUGGAAGUUGGGCACCAGUGGGCCGUGGUGCCAUUCCGAAGCGUUGUGCUUGCACUGCCCAUGGGCCUCACCUCCAAGCAAGAAAAAUAUUGUACAUCAUCUCACAGAAGGCUCUGACCCACAAUUUAUGAAGUGGGUCGAUGAUGAUCAACAAACCAUCACUGUUAAUGCUGCUCAGAGGACCCAUUCUGACCUAUGUAAAGAAAAAGAGAAAUGCGAAAAAAUGUUCAAACAUGUAGAGGUAUAUCUACUAAUAACAUACUACCUCCAUUUUUGCUGAAGCAUGAAAACCAGAAAUUGCUUCAUAAAUUGGCACAAUAUGAAAAGCAGCUGGAAGAAGAGCCUCUGCUGGUAGAAGAGCCUGAGGACAGUUCAUAAACAUUGAAAGGAUCACCAGGAAAAGAUGCUCAUGGUGGUAAUUCAGUAACAUUAAUGACAGCUUGUGUGAGCCCAGCAAAGGGUAAGAAAAAUGAGACUCUCAGGACACUGCAGUAUGCAGAACAAGCCAAAAGAAUUAAAAAUAAACCAACCGUAAACCAAGAUCCUCGAGCUGCAAAAAUUGCUGCAUCGAAACAGUUAGCUCAAGGCGGAAGUAGACAAUGUCCUCCAGAACAAAGUUGUCAUAACCAGCAAUCGCACACACUGCAGCAAGUGGAACAUACCAAAGAAUUGCAGGAACUGAAUCAGAAAUUGUCAUCAACAUAUAUUGGAUGUAGGAAAGACCUGGAAGACUUGCAGGAAGAGAUUUCUAUCUUGCAAAAAGAAAGGGAUGAAUUGACGCAGGUGCUUCAAAAUGUACAGAAUCAAAACGCAGAAAAGUACGUUUCCUGUAGCAUGUGGUACUCUUAUUCAAAUUUAGAAAUGCCUGUUGUUAUUCAGUUCAUUUUUCCUAAUAUCCGUGUUUGCGUUGUUUAUAAAAUAAAUACUUCACUUUUAUGAAUUCUUCACGUAGAGUGUAUAAAAUGGAAACCAAGGAUCGUACACACAGUUCAGAGUGAGUUAUUUCUUUAACUCAACUGCUCUUAAUUUUGUGUAUAUUAUAAAUAGUUGUACAGAUUAUUGUUUAAUAUAUUAUUGAAUCUUUAAUACGACAUCAGAGCAGGGAAGGAAGCAACUUCAGGAACUGGAACAGAAGAUUUUUGAGUUGGACAACAAAAUAACUGAGAAGCAGAAAAUAAUAAAGAUGAUGGAGAGAUGUGAUAAGGAGAUAAGUCAACUGGAAAGUGAGAUUCACAUGUGUUUAAAAAGAAUCCACUGCUGCAGAAUUCAAAUUGGGCAGAUCUACAUCUGUCAUGAAAACAAUGUGUUUAUGGAUUACAUGGGGGGGAUGUCGAAGAUUACAUUACAAAUCAUGAUUUAUGCUCACAUGUAUAUUUCUGUUCCCGAGGCGAACCUCAGCUACUGGGCUGAUCACAGGUGGCAGAUAGUGAGGACCCUGAGACAUGAGGAUUAGCUGUGAAAAAGGGGAGAACCAAAUAAGCAGUCGCGGACCGAGGCGCAAGACCGGAGAGCGUGGGAGUGUAGACAGUGGCAGGGCUACGGCCAUCAAAUACCACAUGAGCUCAGUGAAGGUCCUGUGACCUGGCGAGUAAGCACCGCCAGUAAAUAAGUGCUGUCACCCCACUGCCUUGUGGGUAGGGGAGGGAUCCCCAAAGGCUAAGGGAAGGAAAACCCUGAUAGAAAACCAAGGGGUACAGAUGGCUCCAUAGGUGUAGAGAAACCAACCCUUCUAAGGGAAUGAACCCUGAAUAAAAACUUCUGGUCCUCCAGGAAGAUGGGGGUUGGACAUCAGGUUAACAACCAAAUUCUGGAAAAA